rnacentral:rRNA from 1 species
UACGAAGGGAGCGAGCGUUGUUCGGAAUCACUGGGCUUAAAGCGUGCGUAGGUGGCUUGGUAAGUAAGGAGUGAAAUCCCAGGGCUUAACCCUGGAACUGCUCUUUAGACUGCCUGUCUGGAAUUCGGAAGAGGUUGGUGGAACUCCCAGUGUAGAGGUGAAAUUCGCAGAUAUUGGAUGGAACACCAGUGGCGAAGGCGGCUAACUGGCUCGGUAUUGACGCUGAGGCACGAAAGCGUGGGUAGCAAACAGG